UAAACGCAUCGUAUACCGUUUAAAUAGAUUAGCGGUUUUAUCGACACCAAUGUAUCAGCUGGGUUCAGUAAUUCGCGCUAUUAAUUUUUCUGUUGACAGUAUACAAAAAUCAUAACACUGUACUGAACUUUUUCUUUGUACCGCAAAGGAAUAUCCAGGUAUAUUUUAACAUCACAGAAACAGUAUUAUUCGCAUAUUUUCUUCAACAAUUUUCGUUGUCCAUAGUAAACCAAAAUUAUUAAUUAAUAUAAUAUUGUAGAUUGAAGUCAUAUUUUGUGUGCUGUGAAUAAACGAAAUCGUCACGCUGGCAGGGGCACUGGAAGACAAGGCAGAUUUGGAGGGGACUGCUCCGACCUCUCCAGAUCAAAUUCCUUCGGACCAACCAGGUAUUAAUCUUUUGAUGUUAAAACAAUGUUCAGUAGUUACUAUUACCAUGGCAUUUUUGAGGACUGUAAGUUGAUCCUCUGUAUUUGUACAGUACAUGGAUAUGAUGUGUUACAUCCCAGUGUACUAUAUUUAUAAUAUUCCUCCCAAUUGAUAAUGGUUUAAUAAUUGUUAUUAAUUAGUAUUUUUUCUUUUGCUAAUAUAGUACUAUUUAUCAUUAUCUUGAUGAUAACUUAUCAGUAAUACAUAAUUCAAAUAAAUCUUAUCAAUUAUGUGUACUAGUAUUUUAAAUUUUUACUAUAGGUAAUAAAAUAAGAAGAGGUAAACAAGAUAUUAUUUUUAAAUGUAUUAUUAUAUCUAAUGUUUAUACUUUUUUGGUUUAUGAUGCUCUAGGUACUUUUUAGAUACCCAUAUUAAGUAUAUUUUAUGACAUUUAAAAAAAAAUAUAUUAUUAAGUAAUAAUGGAUAAUAUAAAUAAAUAAAAAUGCUUCUUCAUGAGUACUUAGUAGAUUAUCUAAACUGUAUCAUGUAUUAUGUCAUCAAGACUCGGUAUUAUUAUUAUUGUUGUGUCACAUAGUUAAUAUAUUAUUGUGAUUUCACAUUAAAAGAAUUCUUCUAUUGUGUUACUCUUUCCAGAUUUUUUUAUACUUUUUGAGAUAAAGUAUUGUUUAAUGAUAAUACAAUAGAUAGUUAUAAUAAUAUGUGCAAUAUGAUUUAAUAAUAACAUUAUUUUAUAUUUAAUUUUUGCAGUAGAUUUAUUUGUAGCUUUUAUUUUGUAUAACUUUAGUGAGAUUAUUAUAUAUUAUAGAUAGAUAUUAAGAAAAUAGCGGAUUUAUGUUGAUAUUAGUGUUAGGUUUAGGAUAUAUAAAUACUGAUAGAUGAACUCCAACUUAAUACUAUUUAUUAGUAGGUAUUUCAAGUUGAGAUAAUAGGUAAGCGUGCAAACAAAAUAAAUUGAUUUAAUAACUGGUUCAUUAUAAGAAAUCCUUCUGUUUAACAGUAAAAAGUAUAAAUAAAUAAAAUAAAUAAACAUAGAAUAAUAUAAAAAUUAUUUAAACAUAUUUUGUUAGAUUAUACAAAAAAUAUAUAUUUUGAUUUCAAAUAAAAACAUUUACACAUAAAGUUUUUUAUUACAUUUUAUUUUGAAUAAAGAAAAUGGAUUGUACAGUAAAUAGUAUAACAAGUAAAUUUGGUAGCCAAAGUGAUAAAUUACCACAGGAGACAUUAAAUUAAUUGUUCAUUAGUAGCAUCUCAGAAAUAAGUAUUAUUUUAAAUAAAUUGACUUAAAGUUCUCUUAAUUAAUUUGUUUUUUGUAUUCUAGUAGGACUGUCUGUGAGAACUUGGAAUGACAUAUGAAAAAUAAGAGGAUUUGAAUGACUGGAAGGGUUAUGAAAUAUUUUAUAAUACUGUUGGAAAUACUUAAACUUUAAAAAAAUGAGAUUAGGUUUAAAAAUAAAUGUAUUUGUAUAUCUGUUCCUUUUAAAGAUAUUGGGUAGAUAAAAUAUAACAAAUGUAGGUAGAAUACUAUAUACAUUAACUCAAUACAAUAAUGAGAGUAUAAUAUUUUACUGUAAUGCAGUGUAAUAUAUAUUUAUUUAUUUUUUGAUAUAAGUACAUAAUAUAGCAAUAUAACGGUUAAAUAAACAGUUUAUUCAGUGAUGUAAAUACUGGGUGAGCAAAACGCCAUGGAAACAGUAGUGGCCCUGUAAAUUAAGGUCUGAGGCAUUAUUGGACAGGUGAGGGUUUUUUUGAAAGUCUUUUUCGGCUUUUAAGACUUUAAUACAAUAUAUUGCCUUGGACAUUAGAAUUUCUAGUUGCACCAUUGAGUUAAUUAAAUUUUCUAUUUUUAUUUUCAAUUCUAAAGAGGGAACGUACAAAUACAUACCUACUCUUGAAACUUAAAACUAUAUUAUUUAUUUUUUGGUAUUCCGCGUGUACAGAACAUGGAUACUAUUAAAUUAAUUAUUUAAUAUUAUUAUUUAUUAUUAUGUGUUCGUAAUUUAUAAAAACAUUUUCGUGUAUGUACCUACCGUAUACAUGUAGAACUUUUAUGAAUCACCCGUGCUGCUCGCUAUAUAUGUUUAAUGCUAAAAGUUUAAAUAGCUUGCUUUUAAGCAAAUGUUGAGGGAUAGGGACCCGGCUAUUUAUUAAGGGCCAAACGUUUAGGGAAUCGCAUUGUUUUCGCCCGGUGUAGUAAUAAUUGUUUCGGCCCUUUAGAUGAUUAUUAUUAGUGGGAGUGAGGUUUCGUUUACCUACUACCGUAUUCCACACCGCCUUAUCACGGAUUUAUGGAUUUUUUAUUCGAAUACCUAUUUUUUAAGCAAAGAGAAAUCACAAAUGUAUUGUGUUAAUAAAUCCGAAAAAACUCAGACAAUAUAGGUACGUUUCCUGGUUAAAAACGAAACCUAUCCGAACCGUUUUAAUAUAAAGGAGGUUCUUCUUCUCCCUAUUCUUAGAGUAAUGUAUAUAAUUUAAACUAAUAAUAAUAAUUACUAUAUUAUUUCAACGAUUGUCGAUUAAUCGAAUUAUAAAUUUAAAAAAAAAAUAUGUAUAAAAAAUAUAGUUAUAAAAUUGGGUUUUUUUUUUGUUUGUACUCGUAUUAGUCUAGGUAUAUAUUGUUGCCUUUGCCUUUGGGUCACUCAUAUAGGCCUACCUAACUCAACUUGAAUAAGUGUCGUGUAAUUACUUUCUUCAAAUCUUGUUCAUUUCUAAUUCACUUAAUAACAUUUAUCUUCAUCGAGUCUCUAUUAUUAAAGGUAUUGGGAUAUAUUACUCGUCUACCCUUUCUUUUGAACAUCGUAUUAAUAUAACCAUAACAAGAGCAUUAAAAGUUCUAAGUUUUAUUAAACGAAAUACGAAACAAUUUAAAUCUGACCAAUGUCUUCAGACUUUGGAUUGUGCACUGGUUAGACCUCUUCUUGAAUAUGAUGUUAUUGUAUGACAUCCUUUCCUUGCGAAAGACCAACUUCACCUUGCACAUGUUCAAAAUAGAUUUUUACCCUAUACUUCUUAUAUCCUUAAGAUCCCAGUUAUCAAUCACUAUUCUCUCAUUCAUGACGUUCUUCAAAUUCAAAUGCUUUCCAAUCGGUGUGGUGAAGCUGACCAGCGGUUUAUUGAUUAUCUUUUAAAUGGGUCUUUAGAUGAUCGUGAUCUUCUGGAAAGAGUUUUUUAGAGUUCUCAUAUUCUACGUGCAACCAACUUCCGUUCUCUAUCCCAAGUACCAAGGGCCUAUACUCCUUGAGUAACUUGUAUUUGUAUUUAUGUUUUUUGCUUUUUAUAGUAUUCAUGGAUAUAUCUAUUUUAAGUUUUAAAUGUAAUAAUUUCUUGUUUCAUUAUUAAUUGCCGAUUGCCAUUUAUUUUUUCUAAAUAAAACAAAAUUAUACAAUAUUUUAAAAUUAAUUUUCUCUUUCCUUGGCAACAUCCUAAAUACGCCACUUUUCCGAUUGCUCGAUACAAAAUCACAUUUUGCAUUAUCGUUAGUGGUAAAAUUGCCUCAACCACUUCCAUUAGCUUGCACUCGUCUGACUUUCGAUCGAAAAUAAACCCUGAUUUGUUGUCAAAAAAACCGCAAAGUUUGUAUUGAAAUUAAUAUUGCAAUACAAUAAUUUGUCGGGUUGAAUCGACACACAUUUUAUUAUAGACUCUGUGCAAUGAUAAGAUACCUACUAUUUAAAACAGUGAAUUUCCCUGAACCAUCCGAAGAUAGGAGCGUAUUGGGACACGGGUACUGGGACAAUGUAUACACUGUUAAUAUGCGUUGCUAUUAUAGAAUUAAUGCGUACAACUAUAACAAACACAUGAUAUACUGUGUAAACUAAUUUGUAUAAUAGGUAUUCAAAUUGGUUAGCCCAUUGGCUUACAGUCAUUAUACUCGUAUAUAACGACAGUUAAAUAAUAAUUUACGUACAGUUAUUAAAUUUGUUUCUGUAGGAAAGAGAAAUUGUCGUUGACGAAACACGAUUCCGAGAAAACUUCAGUUAAACAUGUUUCGAAACAACGUGAUUUUUAACAUUUUUCGAUAGAAUUUGAAUGUCAGGAUAUUUUCAAAAUUAUACUGAUCUUAGAAAAUAUAUAUUAUUAUUUAUUUAUUUAUUUAUUCAAUACAUUUAUACGGACAAUGUCCAAUUUACAAAAAAAAUAGUAAAAGUAACAAUAAUAUAAUAUAAUUUAAAAUAAUAAGAUAUAACAUAAUAAAUGUUAAAUAGAAUAAUACAUACAAUUAGUAUAUUAGUAUUCGGUGAAAGCGUUGUUGUUUCCCAAUGUUUUUUUCCCCGUUUGUCCAUCGUUAAUAUUAAUAUCGAUUCUCUUUAUAAUUGGCGGUUAUUAUUACAGUAAAGUGUAAGGAAAAUCAAAAAAUUAUCAUCUUCCCAAUGCAUCAACUAGACAAAAUCCGUUGCCGCCUAACUUAACCCUUAAAGUUGAUGUUUAGAGAGUUUUUUACACACAACGAAAGCGCACGUCGCCAUAGUGAAAACUAAAAGUAAUACAUUUCUCACAUAGCUCUGAAUCUAAAUUUAUAACAGAUAAAUAAUAUUAUAACGUACAGGGCGGUCGACGUAACGUAAGACAAUCAUUACCUCGGAGAGUAUUAUUCCUCUUUUUGGAAUUGUUUUUUUUUAGGAAAUUAAAGCUCUAAAAUGUUACAUUGCCGUUGUAUUUCGCCACCCUUGUUAUAAGUGGUGAUAGCUACCUGUAUUAAAAAUGCUGCACGUAGAUUAGAUUUGGUUUAAAUAAAUUUUGGCGAUCAAAUUUUGAUAUUAAGUCAACUCGUUGACGAGAUAAAUCACUUUUAAGUUGUGCGCAGGAGGAGAGUUAGUAGUUGGUUAAGUAAUUGUAGUGGACCAUUCAAACGCUGCGUGUCGUGUUUCUAUCACCCUAACCGCAAAACGUCAAACUCAAUAGUGGAAUAUCUCGUCAACGGGUUGUCGUAGUAUAAAAAUUUCAAUACUGAAACGGAUUUAAACCAAAACGUAGUUGUCUAUUUACGGAAUUUUUAACAUAGAUCGUUGGUUGAAAACCGUAAGUGGGCCGUGAUUUUACUCCCAAAAAUAAGAGUGAUGACAAAAAAAUAACGGUUAUGCGAAAUUGCUGAGCUACUCGAUCCGAAAAAUGUAUUCAAAAACAAAUACCGGAAAAAGUUAAUGCUUUUCGUGAUUAUUAGUGUCAUUCGUCACUCUGUAUAUUGUUAUAUAGUCAAAUAAUUCGUAUAGAAUCAGUUUAAGAGUAAUUUAAUGUCGAACAAGAUAAACGAAUCGCUGUUUUUAAUUUGUUAACGUAAUUUAAAAAGUUUUUAUCUAAGUUUAGGUGUAAUAUGUUUUUAUCUAUUUCUACAUAUUUUGACUGCUGGUGUUUUUCCCCCAUUAUAAGUGCUAUAUAAUAAUAAUAAUAAUAAUAACAAUUACACUGUAGUAAUAAUUGUUAAGCUUGUUUGCUUUUUCUGGCAGUUGUACAAAUACUGUACACGCGGUCGUGUUUCGUACACUCUGCUUUAGCAUUUCAUUUUACAAUUCGUUUCCAACGCGUGAUAAAUAACUAGGUAUCGUGUUUAGUGGGACCUCGUGCUUGAUAUUCCAGUUCUAAUAUUCAAUUUAUAUGCGAUUUUUGGCGGUAAGGUUUUAAUUAUUAUUUUUAAACAUACCCAGAAAAAUAUAGCCAUACAUUUUUAUUUAGUUAUUAUUUCAAUUAUUAAAAUAUUUUAUUAUAAUUACGGUUUUAUAAAUAUUAUUAUAUUCAUUUAAUGUAUAAUAUUAUAUAUCAUAUAUUAUAGCUUUAUGUUUCCUAAUUACAACUAUAUAUAUAUAUUUUUUUUUUGUAUAAGUACAACUAUAAUACAAUACUAUACUAUAUCUGUGUGCAUAUUUUAACUUUUGAAUUACGCGAAAAUGUCGUUUAUUUAUGAGCAAUACAUUAUUUCACAAUAAACCAAUGGCGUAAUUUCAAAGGUAUGGGGGAGGGGAAUCACUCAGUUUUUUUGUACAAAUAACAUAUUAUAGUAUUGCAAUAAUUGUUUUUAAGUUUUUGCAGGCUGUAAAACAGUACAAUUUUAAAAUAAAUGUAUAGGUACUUAAUUGGUAACUAUUAUAUUGCUGGUAAGUGAUGAGAUUUACACAAAUAUAGAUAUUAGUGUUUAAUAUUUAAGAUAAAUAAACUCAUGGUUUAUAUUCUUAUAUUAACAGCCCAAACUAUUUUAUGGUGUUCAUCUCACUCUCACGCCCAUUUUACCGAAUCAGUUUAAAAAUUUCUUUAAGUACGUGAAUUAUAAUUCGUGAUGAUUAGUGAUUAAAAUCAUGAAAGUUAUUUAAUUAUGUAUCUAAUUAAAGUUAAAAUGAAAAAUAUGUAAAUACAAAUGGCUAACUAAAUUUAAAUAGUGAACAUAUUAUUAUAUUCCGAGCUAAACAAAAAUCGGGGCUUUUUGUAAAUUGUAUACAGUUCACAGUUUUUUCGGUUACUAGGUGGAAAAGCGGAUGACUAAACGAGAGGGUAUUGUGGUAAUGUGAAUAUAAACAAAUACAUUUUUAGAUUGUUCUUUUUAACAUUAAACCUGUAUUAUUAUUGUUUUAAGUCUCUUAUCCAACGAUCAAUACUUAUUCGUCAGAUACAUUUUUAUUUAGUAGACCCAAAUUACCAUCGGCAUAAUCUGUAUUUCGACAUUGAAAUUUAUAUAAUAUCAAUGUAUCGCCCAACCUAACACAACCUAAACUUAAUUUUAGAUCCUGCAUAGUAAUAAAAGUAUUUUUGUUUUGAUUUAUUAAAUAUUUUAAAUUAAUUUAUUUGGUAUAUUUACAAAUGGGUUCCUAUAUUAAUAAAAUAAUUGUUAAUUGAAUGAUAGGUACAUUUAAUGUUAACAUAUAGCUGAUAUUUUAACUAUGUUAAUAAAAAGAUAUUUUAAAAAGUAAAAUAAAAACCUAUCACUUAUUGUUGGGUUACUUACCUUACGUAACCCAACAAAGACACAGUUAGUGUAUUCUAAUAAUUAUAGAAAUGACAGCAAUGCCAAACCAUUAGUCAUUCCAGUUUUCGGGGCAUUAAACUAAGCAAUACAAAAAAUGACCUUUGAAAGUAUACCCGCCUGUGUUCAAUAACCUAUCUAACAGUUGCCGAUUGAAUGUUUUGCUGACAAUUUUUACUGCCCGUCUAAACUUAUUCUACGAUAAAAAAAAAAAAAUUCACACCGCUGUAAAACUAUAAUAGCAUUUCCGUUUUUCUCAGUGUCUGAAAAUGUACAUUUAACUACUUUAAUUAAGCCAUCAGAAGUGUAAAAAAGUGUAAAAAAGUUUGAUGUCAACUGAAACGUAUUUUAUGUUACCUAUAUCAAUGUUUAUAAUAAAUAUAAAACAUAAGUGGAAGCACUAAAGUUGUAUUUUAUAUUUAUAUUUAUAGUAUAGACUAGUAUCACGAUGUUUUAAAUUGGAUUAUUAUUUUAGAUUCUGAGCGUAGCGAGAAAUAUAUUGGUUUUACAAUGAUGUUUAUUUUUUUUUUGCGAACAACUUUUUUACCAGAUUUUGUUCCGAUUUUUAAGUGUAGCACUUUUUCUGAAAGGAAAUUUGACUGGCAUAGUGCUUUAAGGAAAUUAGUUUUUUGAUUUUUCUAUUGGUUAUAAUAAUAAAAAAAUUGGGAAAAAUAUCGAAAAAACGGGGGGAAAAAAUUUUAUUUUAUUUUCCUAAAUUGUAAAUAUUAUGACCUUUCAAAACAUGUAAAACCGAAUUCCGCUCACAAUCGUUUUUCGUUAGCAAAGAUUAAUCGUUGCGUACAGAUAUAUACUUAAUUCCCCUCUGUGUCCUACCUGUCCAUCUUCUCACCUAUAAUAGUGGCUCACACAUCGAGCGAAGUAUAUGGCUAUAUCUUUUUAUUAUUGCAUUUGAUAUGAUUUCGUCAUUAAUAAAUAUUAAAGAUAAAAUAAAAUAAAUAUAAAUAGUAAAAUAAAUUCAUAUUUAUGAGUAAAUAAAUAAAUAACACAAAUAGAAUAAAUAUAUAAAUAAAUAAUAACUAUCACAAGAACCAUAUAACUAAAUACAAUUUUAAAAUAGUUGAAUGGUAAUUUGGAGGCAAGUUCACAAUUGAAAUUCCAUCAUCAAUUGGAUGAUUUAUAUUUUAACUUCGUAUAAAUAUUCAUCUAUUUAGUAAACAUUUUUAGACAUUGCAUACUCAGAAUUUUUAAUUGAGGAAGGUGUAAACUAAUAAAACUUGACUGAAAAAAAAAUGUUUUGCAUAAUAUAUAUAUGUGUAAUUGUGUAGUACAAUAUUAUUUAUACUCGAGCUAUAAGUAGUGCAAAUAUGCAAUGAUUAUUAUUUUAUUUGUACACAUUUUUUUUUUUUCAAUGCUGAAUAGUUUAUAUUAUUUUUACGUAUUUUACAUACCCAAUGGGGGGGAGGGGUAAAGCCAUCUUAGCCCUGGAUACGCCACUAAUAAUAUGUAAUAGGUAUCUAGUACAUAUUAAUUAAAAUGAAAUAUUAAUUAUAAAUCCGAAAUAGGUUAUUAUAAUAUGUUUUGUAUUGCGUAUAGUUAAAAAUAAUUUUAAAAUAAUUUUUGUGGUAUAAUUAUAUAUGCAAUUGUGUCGGAAUACUAUGCUAUUAAAUUUAAAAUAUUAGGUAGGUACCUAUACGAAAAAUACAACAUUUGAUUUAUAAUAUAUUUGUAUACAAUUUUCCUCAAAAAAAAUGGUAAAAAUAGUAUUUACAAUGGAAAUAAUAUUGCAAAUUUACAUUGUAGUAACACUCCCAACUAUUUAAACAUUGAACACUCAUAUAUGAUUCAUAAUUUAAUGUUUGUAUUAUAUCUAUAGUCAUUUAAAUUUGUGAAAGUGCAAAGAAAAUAUAAAAUAUUAAAUGUGUUAACAUAUUAUCUAUAAUAUAAUCAUCGGACGGGCGGAUAUGCAUCGAUCCCAAAGUGAAAUUGAUUGUUUAAUUUGAUUAUUAAUAGUAUUGUUUGGUAGUUUAACAUUAAAACAUAGUACAUAAUAUGUAUUCGUUACAACGCGUAAACUGUAAAAGGAAAUGAAAUGUUUACGACCCACAGCCGAAUCUAUCGUAAGCGGAGGUCUGUAAAUUUUCAUCCAGGAGUGGAAGGAUACAUUUGUCUUUAUGCCCUUCGAAGUCGGAUAUGUGAAAAUUUAAUCUCUGGCUAGCACACAAUGUUUGGCAUUAUAAUGUGAAAAUUGAAUUUUUUUUUUUUUCGUUGAUUUUGUUGAGUUACCAAUGUGACACGGGUGAAAUAUAAGGGAGACGCGGGGUGAUAUGUUAAAUUGAAUAUAUUUUUAAAAAAUUGUUUUUUUAAAUGGUAAAAUAAAGAGGAAUUAAAUUGAAACGAGCAACGCCGAACGGCACAACUUAAUAUAAUAAAAUAUUACAAUUGUUAGAUGAGUUGGUUAGUUAUAUAUAUUUUUUGAGUGGAAUGGAGGGUUUUUUUUAUGAAUGUAUUCUCUGAAAACUCUUGUUUAAGCUAUGGCCUUUUAUAGAUUAACGUACAGAGACAAACGGUAUACCGUUUAUUCCUAUAGGAGCAUCAAAACCAUUGUAAAUUCUCACACGUUUACAAAAUAUAAUUAAUGCAUAGUAGACAUUUUUAUAUUAUAAUUCGUAAUAAUUAGUGACAUUAAUUCGUCCUUUUCCGAGCGAGACACAAGUAAAAACAUUUCGAAAUAUUACCUGAUAUAUAAUUUAAUCGAAAAGACAGAAAAACCCCAAAAUAAUCAAUAAUUGACGAAUACAAAAUAAUAGGUAUGUACCACUUAUAUUAAUGUCUAUAGGAGAUAGAAAUUGAAAUAGAAACCAAAAUGUAAAAAUUAACGAUGUUUAUAGUGAUAACCAACUAAUUAAUUAUUCUGUACCUUUGUAUUUGGGCCAAUACUUUUUACAUAAUUUAUGUUAAUGAUUUACUUAAUCAUUAUAUAGGUGGUAAAUUAUUGUGUUUUAUUGAUGACAUCGUUUUUAUAGAAAAUAAUUUUUGCAAGCAUAACCUUAAACUUGAGGCUAUAAAGGUAUUAAUUCAGUUAAUAAUUGGCUUGAUAAUAAUAAUUCUUUGCAACUCAAUUUUAUUGAAUCUGAACUUUCUACAUUUUAAAAUAACCAAUAAUAGCAGUAAUUAAACUUUUGGUAAAUUAUUCUUACACACACUCUCAUGUAAAAGUGAAGUAAAUAAUUGCAUCUGCCCUUCAAUUAUGUAAACAUCCUCUGUAAAAUAUUUAGGUGUACAGUUUGAUGAAUUUUUGAUAUGGAGUGUCCACUUAGAUAAACUUAUACCGUUAGUUCGAAAAUUGUGUAUGCAUUUAAAUGUCUGAGAAAUAUCUUAACUGUUAGUGUUAAAAUGAUUGUGCAAUCAAUAGUACCCUAUGGAAUAGAUUUUUGAAGUAACCCAUGUAACACAUAUUUACAUAUAUUAAACAAUUGCAUACAACAUGAAAUUCUCUUGUAAAAUUUUUAUUCAAUCGUAUUCAUGGUUCAUUGAAUAAUUUCAUGAAUUUUAAAAAAUUAAAAUGUUAACCUAUGUCUGGAUUUAAAUAAUCUUUAAAUAAUAUUAUGUAUCUUUUUUUUAAUAAUUUCUAUAAUUUAGGUUAUCUACUUUUAACUCUUCUUAGUAUUUUGAAACAUUUUAUAUUAUUUUUGUUUUCUAAUUUUGUUAUGUUUGAUUGUACUUGCAUGAACUCUCACCUGCAGCACAGCCUUUGGAGGUGAUCCGACAAUAGUUUAAGUUUUAGUAUACAUAUCCUGUAAAUGUUGUUGGAGAAUUAAUACAUUAUUAUCAUUAUCAUUAUUUUAAAGACAUUGAUUUAAGUUCUAAAGUAACUUAGAAGGAUUUUAAAACGUAGCAAAUCUUAUUGGCAAUAUAAUUUUAAUAAUAUUUUAUGGAUUAUUAUUUAUUUUAAAUAUUAAUACUGUCAUGCACUUGAAUGUAAAUAAGAAUUUAGUGAAGGCUAUUUAUGUGAUAAUCAAAACAAUAUUCAGUUGUCUAUGCGGGAGACUAAAACAAAAUAAAUUAUAUGCUGUGGUGGGGACAUUUUGAUCGAAGUGGUAUUAAUUGGCGUUUAUUAAAAUUAACAAAAAUAUAAUUUAAUUUAAUUGAAUUACAUUAUUAUGCCUUUCAAAAUUUGGAUGUAUCGUACUUAAUGUCAUUCGGUGAGACUGAGAUAAGGACUUUAAAUUAGAUACAUCUAUAUAUUAUUUUUAUUUCAUAAGUGUUUUUAUACAAAGGUACACAAUUUUACUUAUCAAUACAUUAUUUCGCGUUAUCAAAAAAGAUAAUAAUUUUUAUCAAUAUGGUAAAUGUAUAAAGUGUUUUGUGGAGUUUUGUACAAUAUUAUUGAUAUUAAAAUUAUAGCAUUUGAUUAUGAUACAGUUAAAAUAUUGAAAAUAUCAGCGAUUAUUUCGGAACCAUAGCAAAUUGAGAAGUAUGUUUCAUAUUAUAUUGUUUAAUAUUUUGUUGCCCUUGAUAAUGUGUAAAUUACAAAACGUAUACAUAGGCAACCGUUUAUGACCGUACUGCUAAAGGUUUUGCAUAUUCAUGAAGUCUGCGAUGUUUGUGGCGCGUAAUACGUUGUGAAUUUAUACUUUAUGGUAGCAUUAUGAUUUAUUUUUAUUUUAUAAGGUAGUAAUCGUUUUUUUUUUAGUUUUAGUUUUUCCAUUCAGUUCGAAUGAAAAAAACUGAAUUGGUAUUCGAAUCUAUUUGAAUUAGUUUUAAUUUAUAAACUUUGAAAAAAAAAAUAUUCUAGUUAUCAUAUUAUGUUUAUAUUUUAAAUGCGCUUCUAUAAGUUAAUGAGAGAUUAUAUUAUAAUAUUGUAUGUUAAAUUUAAAUUUUCGAAAAUUAUCGCGGUAUAUAGUAAUGAGUCGUGACGUUAUUUCAUCACUCGUAUUAAACUUAAUUAUGAAAUGUCUAUAAUUUUCUACCAAAAUCAAAAUUGCCAAUUUGCCAAAACGGCGUUACUGCUGUAUAAUUUAAUUUCCAUUACGAAAUUAAUAAGUAAAUUUAAAAACAGUUUAUAAUAUUGGCAAGUUUCCUUGCGUUACCUAAACGUAUACCCUCUUCACACGUAUACUUAAUCUUGUACGUAUACCUAUUGUUUACUCGACUCUGCAUAAUCUCUAUAAUAUAACGGAGAUUAAUAAAUAAGUAUAAACAGUGGCAUGCCCAAGAAUUUUUAAUGUGAGAGGAUGUAGCAAAUAUGAAUCAUAAGUAAAUUGUUAAAUCGUCUUCUUUAUCCAACUUUUGAUAACGGGAAUGUAAAAUUCGGGUCCGAAGAAAAAAAAAUUGUAUUUAAUAAAUCAAGGUUUUUUUUGUUACUUGGUUUAAAUGUAAUAUACAUUUCGAGAUUAAAUUACUUCAUAAAUACUCAUAGUGGUUGUGUUAUAAAAGCAAGUAGAGGGGGAUAUAAACCCUAACCUGUCUCCUUCCGCUUACGCCACUGAAUGUAAUAUAAAUAAAAUGUUAUGUACACAAUAUACAUACAUAAAUUUGAUAAUUUUGUUAAUUUAUUCUUUAUGGGUAGUUACUACUGUUCAGUAGGAAUUCCACUCUACCGUCUAAACAAUUUAUUGCAUUUACGUGAGACAAUCUUCGAGUUGUAUUUAUGGCAGAAUUUUUACAGUCGUAUAAAUCCUCUUUUCUGCGUUGUUAGUAUAACGGAAAAAAAAUGAUAUUUAAAAAUUCGAUAUUUUCAAUUUUUCGAAACCUCCGUGCAAAAACAUGAAAAACUGCCCAAAAAGUUUAUCUCAGAUAGACAACGAAGAAUUCAAAUAUAUUUUUAAAAAUACGUAUCACGUAACCUUAGACCAGUGUUUCCCGACCUUUUUUACUCGACGCCUCUUUUAGAUUGUCAAAAAACUUUCACCGCCCCCUCCCCGAUAAAUUAAAAAAAAAAAAAUAAAUAUAGUUUAGUUUAUAUAAUCAGCCAUUUAAUUAAGUUGUAAAAUAAAUAUUUUCUUCUCAUUUUGAUCUCGGCCUUUUUACUAUAAUUACGAAUAAGUAUAACUAACUUACAUACACACUAAAUUAUAUAGCUUCAUGUAAUAAAUGCAAGUAUACAAUAUUGUCGGAAAUAUCCGUAUGAAAAUGGGACCUUUCGCUGUUAUUUCGUUGAACUUCGCUGUUAUUGUAGUGUGUCUAAAAUAUUUAAUCAUUUAAUUAUUUUCUAUUGUACGCAGAUAAAUUUUAAUUUAUUUAUAACGCAAUUGUUUAUUUAACCGUUUGUUAUUUUCAAACGUCCACGCGUUUGUAUAUUAUUAACUUACUAUAGUUGCUAUACGUUAUAAUAUAAUCGUAAAUAUUAUAUUUUGAUGAACAUUAAAAAUAAAAAACCGUGCGGUUUAUUCAAAUCGUAUUCAAAUUAAUAAACGUAUGGUCUAUUUAGUCCAAUUUGAAAUAAUAAUUUAUCUCUUUUAAUGGUACAUUAUAUUUGGUUCUAUGACCUAGUCUUAGUCCAAUAGCCAUGUUCUAGUUUAUAGAUAAGAAUAUGUAGGGCGUAGGCAUAUUAUAUUCCUCCAAAAAUGGUUACAGGUGUUUUCAAGGACGGUUAACUAUUAAUUUCUUCAUCCAUCGGAGAUCGGGAGAUAGCUUACCAAAUAUAUAAUUCUGUGCAAUAACGUGUCGUAAAGUUUAUGGUCGUGUGUGUAUGGGCGAAAGCGUCAAUUAUUUUGCAAAUACCCUGUAUGCCUUUCAAUUAAAAAUAAUAAUAUAUAACCGUUAAAAUGCAAUCAUUUUGAAUUUUGAUUUCGAUUGUUUUUUUUAAUACUUAUAAUAUACUCGUCAAGAGUAUAUAAUAUAUGAGUACGAUAUCUACCAAUUACCUAAACGGUAUCCUUGAGUACGAAGGCUCCAAUCUCCUGUCCAUUUACUUGUAUUUUGUGUUUGGUGAUUAUUAUUAAAUCUUAAAUUUUUACAGAGUUGUUAAAUUUAAAACAUUUUGUUGGUUAGUUGUUUAAAACAUGUUUUGAGUAUAUGCAAUUAAAACCGUUGUACAUUAAAAAAUACCAAAUAAAACAUUGAUUAAAACAUACGCAUUACCAAGUUAUUAAGACAACAAAUAAAAAGUGACUUCGAUUGUAUGGUAUAAUAAUGUUGUGAACAACAUUAUUAACUAUUUUAGUAUAUUAUAUACAAACAUAACAUUGUAUUUGUAAUAUAUAAUAUUGCAACAUAACAUUUUUACAAAUAUGAUUAUGUUCGUAACACUUUUUUUGCUGUCUUAAAUAGUCUACAUUUAUCUUUAUUUACAUAUCUUAAUUUAAUAAUUAAAGAGCUAUAGUAAUUUUCUUAUGUAAGUGUUGAUGCUCAUAAAUAUUAGUUUUAUACUAUUUUUUUCGGAGUUUUCAAGGUUCAUUGAAAAUAUAAAUAUUGUAAUGAACGAUAAUUGUAAAUGAAAAGUAAAUUAAAUCAAUACCAUAUAAUACCACGUAUAAUCAGUUUUAAGAAUCGAUUUGUUUGUUUGUUUUAUUUUGUUGUGCGUUUAAUAUACGACUAUAUAUUUACUGAAACACGAAUUAUCAUAUAUUUUUUCAUUUUCCAUUACUUUAAUAAUAAUAAUAAUAUUAAUAAUAGUAAUAUUUUACCGCAAUGACGUAAACGUUUGAUCAAUCAUUGUUACACAUUAUUAAUAAGUCGUAAUUAUUUGAUAAAAAAAAAAAAAAAAGUUGAAUUCGCUGAAUUUUCUAAACGAAUUAUAAAAUCUAUAUAAAACUAAACGUGAUGACAUUUUAUUAAAAAUAAUGAUGCAUGAGUUAGUGACUGUUCAUAUAUAUAUAUACAGGAACUAUUGAUGGACUGUUAUAACGAGACCGUUAUGCUUGAACUAUUUGAAAUGGUUUUCAUAAUGACAAUCUAUUAUAUACAUUUCAUUUAUACUAUGUGUGUCAGACAAAUUAGAUUCUUUUCUUUAGUAUUAGUGUUUAUAUCUGUUGAAAAGAGUAAUCAUUUAAAAGAAAUUAAAAUCUACUUUUUAAUUAAAUAUUUGGUUUCAGGAAAGAAGGGCUUAAGUCAAUUUUUGGCGUUUCUUUUUUUUUCAAAUAAUUUUUUCUAAUGGAAUUAGUUUUUCCUUUAUUUUUUUUGGUCUAAUUUGUAACAGUGUGUGUACGCUUUUUCAAAAUGAGUGUAUGUAGUGUAAUAGAAAGACUAUAUGUCUAUAGUUAAUACACAAAAGUAUAUAUUUUAGAUUCUGAGUAGAGUGAAGAAACUUAUGGUUUUACCAAGAUGUUUGUUUAUUUUUUUUUUUGGGGGAUGUACUUUAGGGAAAACAUUUUUUCGAUUUUCUCAAGAGUUUUCUCACCAAAUGUGAAAAACCGAACAAAAACGGGAAAAUGUACAAAAUAUAUUAGUAUAUUGUUACAAUUUUUUUUUCUGUGGACAACUUUUUUACCAGCAAUUUUGCUUUAACUUAUAAUGAUAGCUAUGUUUCUACAAAAAAAAUCCGACUGGAAAAGUACUUUAGAAAGGUCAAAUUUUCGAUUUUCUCAGGAAUUUCCUCAGCAAGUAUGAAAAACUGGGAAAAUAUAUAAUUCAUAAUUUUACUAUAAUAUGACAUAUAUAUAGUUGACAAAGCAUCACUAUCAAUUGAAUUACGUUAAGAAUUGUUUUUUUGUAAGCAAUAAUGGUUUAUCGUUGCUUACAGUCUUACAUGUAUACAUUAAAUUACCUAUACAGUGGCUGCACCCGUUUCCAUUAUCUUAUUUAACAUUUAAUUUACUCAUAUUGAAAAAUAUUCAAAAUUGACUUAAAUUCACUGAGACCAAUUAUGAAUAUGUAUUAUAUAUAUUGUAUAUUUUUCGUUUAUUAAGAUAAAAAUUGUAUACAUAAUAUAUUAUAUAUUAUAUAAAUGUAUAUUUUAAACUUUUUUAAUUUAAAAAUAGAACAACGCUACAUUUUUAUAAAACGUAUAGGUAUCUACUAUUAUUAAAAAUAUUGUUUUAGCUUCUGAAAGUAGAGAAAAGAAGCUGUUACAGUUUUACUACUAUGUCGAAUAAGAUAUUGUGUUUUCUUCUUUUCAGAAGACACUUUUUCGCUAAUGAAAAUGCAACUUCUACGUUACACCCGGAUUUUCCGCCCGGUGUUUUUUUUUAAUUGAAACAUUUAUCUAGAAUCCAAACGUUUUUUUUUUUUUUAAAGAAAGUAAAUACAUAAAUAAAAGCCAAAAACUAGAAUGACACUAAUGCACAUGUUUUAAACAGAAGCUAUAACACGCAGAGAUCUGUAAUGUUGAACAUAGACGGUGGAGGGAGGAGGUCUGUGGUUAAUUUUUUAAAUUUGAAUUUUUGUUGUUGUUUUUUUGCUGAUUUCUGAAUUCCCUUGGUUAUCUAUGGGUACCGGGACCAACAUAAAUAAUUUAAAAAAAAAAAAAAAAUGUUUACUACAAUUGAAAUUAACAGUAAAGGUGUCCCGGGAGGGUUUUAAACUGUGUCAAUGAGUUUAUUCUCUGAAUUACUUUAUUUCAUUUUGUUUAUAGUUAAUUAAAGUUUAUUAAAUAUUUGUAUUAUAUCGAAUACAUCAAAAUGUUCACCAUAAGAAUGAUUUAUAUUCGUAAGUAACCUAUAAAUAUUAAAAGUAAUUCAUUUUUAUUAUUUCUAAUAUUAUUUUAACUAGAAAUGAUCUGAAUUAAUAAUAAUAAUAACAAAUUUACAGUUUAACACCUGAGUGAAAUAUUGUCACUUAUGAAUUAUUCUAGUACGAUAUUCUGCUUUUUAAUAUCAAAUAUUAUUAUUUUUGUACUCGCCAAUACGAUUUUAUGAAUUUGUCUAGCAAAUUUAAGUUUAAAAUUAUUAUUAUAGCAUUUGGUGAAAUUGUGUGCAUUUUUUCCUUCGAAAAACAUUUUUUUAUUUAUGAUAGAUGAGUUAAAUUUUACUCAUUUUUCAAUAGAAAAUUCAUUGCACAGGAUCGGAUUUAUGAGGGAGAAAGCACAGGCUCCGGGGCUCCCGUAAAAUUUAACUGAUGAGGAAUCUUUAUAAAAUAUAUGUGUUUUAGCGGGACGAUUUUCUUUAUAUUUUCGUAAAAAUUUUAAAAUACAAUAUUAUUUAUCAAAAACGUAUUUUUCGGUCCGGCGUCCGCACAACUUACCGGAAUCCACUCAAUGCCAACGUGGGAGGUACAUUGGCGCACAUACGGAGGUGCCAGGGGGUGCUUAGCAUCCCUAAAUCUAAAAUUAGGACCGCCAAAUUUUUAGUUAAAUAAAAUAAAUAUAAUACUUAAAUAAUACUCAGAUUUAAGGUAAUUAAUUACUAUUUUACUAUUGUGCAUUGAUUUAUAUUACAUAUAAUAUAUUAAUAAUUAAUAUUAUAUAGUACUUAUAUUAUAUUAUAAUUGUAAGUUUAUGUUAAUUGUUUUCAUAUUUUUAAGGAGGUACCUAUCCUUUGUUGGUUUUUUAUUAGGCAAUGAAAGAUUCAUUAUAGAAAAUCGGAUCUCAUUAUUUCAAUUUUGUUUAUUUAAUUUGCGAGUAUCAUAUAAUUUUAUUUUGAAUUGUCGAAUAGGUUGUGGUGGGGUAACCCUCUCGUGAUACUUUAUCGUAAAUAAUUUUAUCACCCCUAGGUUUUAGACUGAACGUGCGCCAAUGGGAAAGUAUAAACACAAUUUAACUUUUUGAUUUAAAAAAAUAGGGUGAGAGGAUGUGACAUUCGCAUGUGUUGUCUCCGUCUUACAAACUUUCGAUAUAGUAAAUUUCCGUUCAGCAGGGACAAAUGUGUGCUGUUAGUUUUAAUAUUAGAGUGAAUUGACCAAUGAUCAGACUUAAAAAUAUAUGGACAUGCUUUGCACAAUGGACGAACCACUACUGUAGGUGAGAAGAUGGGAAGGUAGAGAAGACAUUUAAUGUACAUCUGUACGCAACCAUUGCUAACGAAAAACGAUUCUGAGUAGAGUUCGGUUAAUAGUGUUACUUUGUCAACAAUAUACAUGUGUAUCAUAAUAUUAUGGUAAAAUAAUUACAUAUGCAAUUAUAUAUUUUCUUUAACAAUAUUUGUUUAAUAUUGUAUCUAUCAAUUUUCCACGUUUUUUCCCCGGUUUUUCCCAUUUAUUAUGAAAACAGCAGGGAAAAUCAAAAAAAUGACCUUAAAGUACCACCCGGUCAGAUUUACUUUUAGAAAAAGUGCUAUAAUUUAAAAUCGGAGUAAAAAUGCUAGUUGAAAAGUUGUUUACAGAUAAAAAAAAAACAAAAACAAAACCUCAUUGUAAAACCAAUAUAUUACCCAUUCCGCUCGAAAUCUAAAAUAAAAACUAAGAACUAAUGAGAAUUAACUGUGCUACGAUGGCGUAUUUUUUCGAUAUUUUAAUUUAUGAGCUUCAGUCAACCGUGUUAUGUACUCAUAUGUCUCUUAAAAAUAUUAUAAAAAUGGCGCCACCGUUUCAACUGUUGUUUGUCAGCUAUAUUGUUAGAGUCAAUCCUCUCUAAUAUUAAACCGCACAAAGUCGUCCCUGUUAUGCCGUGCGUUUGAGAGGCGCAGACGACGCACGCGGGUUAUCACGCCCUUUCAAUAAUUUAUUAAAUUUUUGUUUACCUAUAUAUAGUAAAUAUGUUAAAAGAAAAAAACAAAUACAUUUCGUAUUGUCGGUUUUGUUUUGGUUUUUUUUUUUUAUUACUUCCGCAUUAUCAAUAUGUUAUAACACCAGCAGCUACCCACUCGGUAAAUUCGUGAUGAUAAUAUUUACAGAAAAAAAAAAAUCGUAUACUAUUAUAUUGUUAUCGUUAUUAUUGUAUUAUUGUUACGACGGAUUAUGCACGCACGCAAAACCCGGCGAUGUGAAUUUUCGUAACCCAGUAAACUGAAAGGAAAAAAAAAAAACAAAAAUAAAAACUUCUCACGACUCCGAGAAAUAGAUAAUAUACAGUAUGUAGAAUAUCCCGAUCCGACGGUGACCACUUCCCCCCCCCGCCCCCCGCAGCGCCUACGGUAAUAACGCGAAGACGAUACACCCGCCGGUGCACCCCGGCCGUUAUCCAGUGGCUAGACGCCAAGCGAACUGGGCUAAGGUCGGUCGUGUCGGCGGUGCGCGCCCGCAUUAUUAUUUAUCAUCAUAAUAAUAACGUGCUCGGGACUGCGGCGCGGAGUUACCGUAGCGGAAACAAUGGGCGCGAAUCCACCGGCAUUAUGGAAAACAGCCGCUGUAUCGGCGCACGUGAUUUGACGGCCCGAAUGCGGUUCGCACAACACACCCAAUAUAAUAACAAUAAUAAUAAUAAUAAUAAUAAUAAUAAUAUUUGUAAUAUUUGUAAUAUUUCCGCGUCCGCCGCAACGUGUUUUUCACUGCGCGCGCCGCGCACUACUCGCCGGCGGCGGCGCGCGUUUGGGAUUUCGUCGCGCUCGAGGACGCGGGUUUAUCGCGUCGCGUUCCUUCUCAUCCGCAGUCCUGCCAAACAGUGCGAUAACUAUCGGGGACGUUUAACGGCCGAACAAUAUCGUCGCAACACUCGCGUUUUGCCCGUCGUUUUGUUAUUAUUAUUAUUAUUUUUUUUUUUUUUUUUUUUUUUUUUUUUUUAUAAACGCUUGUGAUUCGUGUAUUCAAACACGGCGAGUGCUUACGAACCGAGAUUUCACUGAUCGUAUGUCAAACUACUCAAACUAGAUUUUCGGCAAUCGAAUAAAUACCUACGAGUACCCAUUCGUAAUGUGGAGUGUGAGCUAUUUCAAGUCACCAUACGUAUACAACUUAUACGUUAGUUUUUAUUUGUUUGUAUCACGCCAAUUUGUCGUCACACCAGUCGCCUCUAUUUGUACGUUGUUUCGUGUCGUUUGUAUACGUGGGGCCGAGGAGCCAUAACUGUACCCCUUCCCCCAACACCCGAAAUGUUUUCUACAUUAUUCUCGAUAUUUUAUAAUUUAUGAAAUGUUCGCUAAGUGAGUCAUUUUUGGUCGAAUUUCUCUGUAUGGUGUCUGUACUCGGUUAUAAUAUAUAUUUAUACAUUAUUAGGUAGGAAAUUAAAAUAUAAUCUGUUUUUCGUUACUUUUGGACAUUUUUAACGGCUCUCUUUGGAUCAAACGAACUCAAACUCGGAGAUUCGAGUGGUUUAAUGUGUGAAUUGAAGAGUUCAGAGUUGGGUUGAAUUUCAAUAUAAACUAUACCAUGUUGCGGAAGAUUGGUAUUUUUCAUCAUUGAACUCGCCUACAGAUCCACCAAAUGAAGUGGGAGGAUUUACAUUUUGUAUGCAUACACCAGUUAAUAUCAGUACUGACUGUUGAAGACUAUUGAAGUUUAAGAUUUCAACCCUUACUUUUACUAUUUUUAUGAUUAAAUUUCACCAUUUUUUUUUUUUUUUUUUUUUUUGUGGAAAUAGUAUAAUUUUAUAUUAUCUACAGUAAGAAAGUAAUGUUAAAUUAUUAUAAUAUUCAGUUAUUUUGCCGGUUACAUUUAUAAAUAAUAUUUCUAUAAAAAAAAUAUGGGUCGGGGAAGAAGGAUAUUUGGAAUCUAUAUUGACGGAGCUUUGUUGCAACUUGCGGGUGUUUUUUUUCUAAUCUAAUUCAAUUAUUAUAAUAUUGAAAAACAAAAAGUCCUGGCGGGUCAUAUAAAUAAUGAACAUUUUAAAUUUAACCACCUCCCAACCCGAAUUAUUUUCCUGGUUGCGCUACUACCUGCACCUACUGUACAUAGGCUAAACAAAAUUAAUUUUUAAUUUAUAUAUUUUUGUAAGUAAUUUAUAAUAAUUCAGUCUGUCUUAAAAUUAAGAUUUAAAUUAAAAAUCAAAGGGAACCAAGUAAAGAAAAAAAUAUGCCAAAAAAUGACUUGAACUCUUUCCCGAGAGAUCAGAAAAAUAAUUAUUGAAAUCACCAGUGUAUGAGGUCUGGCUAUUAAAUAACGAGACUGCUUAUGAAAAAUCGUUUUAUUUUAAAAAUUAUUCCACAACCUUAUGUUUCCCUUCAAUAUACUCCCCUCCCCUCGCCAAACACCGUUUCAUUCGUUUCUUCCAUUGCUCGAAGCAGUGCUGGAAGUCUGUUUUCGUAAGACCAUUCAGGAGUUCCGCCGAUUUUUGUUUCACCUCUUCCAUCGACUCAAACCGGAUUCCUUUUAGGGCACACUUUAUCAUCGGAAACAAGUAAAAGUCGCAGGGUGCCAAGUCGGGUGAGUAAGACGCGUGUUCGAGUACUGGAGUGCCUUAAGCGGCCAAAUAACGCUUCACAGACAGCGCGUUAUGGGCAGGUGUGUUAUCCUGGUGCAAGAUCCACGACUUGUUUUUCCACAAUAUCGACCGUUUCUUACGAACUCAUUCGCGCAAUGUUGCCAAAACUGUCAAAUGUAAUGUUGAUUCACAGUUUGACCCUCUGGAACCCAUUCAGUCAUCACAAUGCCGUUGAUAUCGAAGAAAACGAUCAGCAUGGGUUUGAAUUUGGAUUACGACUGAAUUGGAUUCCGGUGCACUCUCGACCUUCAGAAAAUAAUUUAUGCCACUCAAAAACACGCGCCCGAGAUAGGAAAUCCUCACUAUAGGCCUCUUUUAACAACUUAUAGCACUCAGUUGGAGUUUUUUUUUUAGUUUAACGAAAAAAUUUUACGUUUAUCCGUUGCUCAUGUUUUUCGUCACACAUCGUUUUCGGCAAGAGAAAAAAACAUGUUCGUUUCUAAACGCUACAGAAAAAAUACUAAUGCACCAACAAAAACCCAAUUUUGUACUGGCAUAAUAGACACUUCCAGCUAUCCAUCGCUGUAUUCGGUUUUCCCCUAACCUUUUUGGGACGCCCUCUGCGCGCGCAGUCUCAUUAUUUAAUAGACAAACAUCGUAUAAUAUAUUAUAAGUAUUUUGAAUCUGUAAACGCGUAUCAAAGUAAAAGAGUCGAAAGUAAUAUUGUCUACACUUCACUAGGUGAUUCAUUUGAAACGUGUGACCUUCACCUAAAAUGUCUUGUGCCAAAUUGUGGUGUUACUCAGAGAAGAUUAAUGUUGUUUUGUGUAUAGUUUAUUAUUUUAUACGAUUACAGUUAACCGUAAACGGCCGAAAAUAGAAUCGAAAUAAAAGCGUUUUGAAAAUACCAGCUAAUAUUUACACUAACAAUUUCGCAUAUAAUUUUAAAUUUUUCGCUGACAUGCGACUAAAAAAAUUUGUGCGUACACUUUUAUUAGUUAAAAAUAAAUACAUAAAAGGGGUCCAUUGGAAGUUAAAUUAAAAAUAUCUGUUAGUUCCUUUUUUAUAUUGUUUUCUAUUAAUGUAGACAUAUUAUAUACUAAAUUUAUUAUGUAUGCAUCAUGCUCUUUGAAUUUUUUGUUAAUUUGCAUUUAGAUUUGACAGAACCUCAAUAAUGGAUCCAAUACAAUAUCAGUUUCAUUAUACGUUUGGUCUGAUUCACUAUUGAGCUUGUCAUAAAUAUGUUCCCUUAUAUGAAUUUGCAAUAUCACCUCCCCCCCGCCCGUUAUCUUGUCACGGAUCCGCCUCUGCUUGACCUUCUUACAUCUUAUAUUCUUUUAUGAAUAAGUAUUAUUUUCUUUAUUAAUUCAAUAAACGACGCGUAGACAGUUAUUAUUGUUGAAGUACGUGCCAAUCGGUAAAGUAAAUAAUUACUAUUGAGAGAGAGAGAGAGAGAGAGAGAAUCAAAACUAUUAAUUCGAGCAGCGCAAUAUAUUUAGUAGAUCGUCAUAUUUUAACUUUAUAUUAUAUAUUAUUUGACAGCGCGAUUCGAAGCAAUAUGAAGUAUUUGACAUCGUAUUAUUCGGUCUUAUCAUUAAGGUCGUCGUGCAAAUAUGAAAUAAUAAUAAUUUUUAAAUUUUACUCAAUUGAAAACAACUUAGAAAAUUGCUUCCAUAGUUUCAACGCCCUCGAGGAAACAUUAUACACACAACUGCUGUUUGCUGUAAUAUCAUGCUCACGAAAAAUACAUUUAGGUUUUGUCGUACCAACGUUACAGUUAUAAAAAAUAACAGCAUUCCGUUACAUGUAUAUAAUCGAAUUUUGCUCAGAAUCGUUUUUCUUUACCAAUAGUUUAUCGUUGUUUACAGAUACAAAUUGAAUAUCUUUUAUAACAGUGACCCCACCCAUCAGCAGUAUCGGUUCUUUUUUUUGUUGGCAUUUUUGUAUUGACUAUUUAUUAAAAUAAUGUGUUAACCGAUUCAUUUCGAUUCGGAGUAAUUGUACUGUUCAUCAAAAUAAUUUUUAUUUGAAAUUAUCUAUACAUAUUUUUUUUUUAUUUCUGUAGAUAUUUUGUCGUGCAAAUUGUAAUUUGUUUUAACCCUGGGUUUUCGUAUCGAGGUUCCUCGGUAUUAAAAAUAAAAUAAAAAUACAUCGUCACGCUUAAUAUAAUCGUCGAUUUUGUAUUCUAGUUUUUCUAACCAUUUUAGUACUUAUAUAUUGUAUUACAUUUAGUAGACGAUUUAAAUAUAACGUUUUCCUGGUUUAUUUUUCGAUUUAGUAGAUCGUAUUGCUAUAUAAAAAAAAAAUAACGUAUUAAACUAUUGUAUUGAAUAAACAAUCGAGUAAAAACUGUUUGUAUGAAAAUCAAGCAAAUUAAAUUUUUUUUAUUAAUAUUAGAUUUUCCAUUGUAUAAUAUUUUCGAUUGAUGAUUUUAUUUUAAUUAUGCAACGGUUAAUUAGCUACUGAAGUAAUUACAAAAAUAAAUAUAUGUAUACAUAAAAUAAUAAUGUAGUCAGUUUUAAAUUAGAUGUAUAUUUUUUAAUUAAAUGUACGUUUAUUAUUGCGUACGAUAUUUAAAGUGUAUGCAAUUAUUAAUUAUUUUAUAGAGAUCUAUUGUCAAUGCUCUAUAAACAAUUUAAAUAAAACUGGUCUAAAAAGAAAUACGAAUACAUUAAAAUACACAUAUUUCAUUUUAUUUUAGUUUCCUAUAAUGAGUUUUUUUUUUAGAUUCUGAGCGUAGCGAGAAAUAUUUGGUUUUACUAUGACGUGUGCUUUCUUUUUUGUCGUAUUUUCUAUUUCUAACUUUUCAUCCAGAAAUCUGACACUAAUCAAAAAACGAUAAAAAAAUACCAUUUUGUUCCAUUUUGGACUUAGUUACUGAGGAUUAAGUGAUUUUUUUUUUCCAAGCAGUUUUCAUGAUUAUUGGGAAAAACCGAAAAAAGACGUAAAAUAAAAACUUUAAAAUUUACGUCGUUAUGAAUUCAUUAUUUUUAAUUUGUACUCUUUAUUUUUUUCACUAGUAAUAUUGAAAUAUCGACAAUAGAUCUUUUUUGUUGCAUUUUAGAUCUUGUUGAUUAACAAAAAAGUCGUUUUUCGAUUAUCCGUGUAGUUUUCUUAAUAAUUUCGCAAAACGAGAAAAAAAUGUAUAGUAAAAACGAGAAAGUCUACGGAAAUAAUGGAUUCAUUGUUUUCAAUAUUAUUGUAAUUCUAGUAAAAAUAUUCCUAGACUUGCAAUUUUGAUAGAAAACUAAUAUUCUCUUUUUUUAUAAAAUAAAUAAAAUAUUCUCUAACUACUAAAAUAUGAUUUUUUAUGCAAAAUAAUUUUUUUCUUCUGAAUUCUAAGUUUUACGAAUCGUGAAGAUAUCUUACUUCCAUUUAACUGCAAACACUUGAAACAAAUAUGUAAAAUCAUUCAAAAUUGACCUUUAAUUGUGCUAUAACUAGUGCUCAACAAAAUUACAUUGGAAUUUAAUGUAGUGAUUUUUAUCAGCGCUAUCAGUAAAUUUGAAAAUACAGAUGUAUAUGACCCUGGUAUGGCCUAUAGCACUAUGCCUCAAAGACAAGACCACUUAGGAAAGCGGAGGAAAUUAGAUUAAAGGUAUUUAAAAGGAGAAUUCUAAGGAAAAUAUAUGGUCCUUGCAUCGACCUCUAAAUGGGAGAAUGGCGUAAACGACACAACCAUGAAAUCGAAUUAUUAUUCUAAAGACCGGGUAUCGCAAAAGAGAUCAAGUAAAGGAGGUUAAUGUGACUGGACAUGCGUGGUGGCACGUGGGUCCCAUACUUAAAAUAACCAUCACUGAGAAUUCGACUGGUUUGUACCAGUCCAUCGGGAAGACCAAGACUAUAUGUGGUAGCAGUCUUGUGCAGGAUCCGACCAGAUGUACCGUGCAGGACAGCUGCGGAAGAUAGAGAUAGAUGGAGAGGACUUUGCUUGUCAGUAGUAUGGUUUCAAUGACUGACAGCCAAAAGAAGAGAGUGAGAGAGAGAGAGAGAGAGAGAGAGAGAGAGAGAGAGACAGAAACUAGCUGUUAUCGGCGCUGUGCCCACACAUAACUUUUUAGUUUCGAUAAUAUUUUCAAUUGCUCGGUCUACUUGAAACGUUUGAAUCGAACUCAGAAACGUGCGGAUAUUAUUUGACGUCGAAAUAAAUUGUAUUUUUCAAUCGCUAUUAACGGUUUAACGGAAAAAACGAAAGAAAAAAAAAAAACCGGCGACGAGACGUUUCGUUACGAUACGACACGCGCGCGUGUUCCUCGCAUUCGGCCCGCUUCGGCCCCCCCCGGUUCGUCGGCGUUGUCGACGGCGAAUCCUCGCCGGCGACACGCGUCGCGCCGUGAGAAUAAUUCGGCAAUAUCCAAACGUGCGAUCCGAAGGUACUGACAACAAGCCCUGUCCGUUUUAAACGUUUAGCGUGUAGGCGCGAAACAAGUGUGGAAGUGUCGUAAUCGCGUUCCGGCGCGCAACGCCGCCGCGCCAUUUUGAAACGAACGUUUUCGGUGUGAAACUACCGCACCCGUCGUAAGCGGUCGUAAAUAAAAGAUAACUCGCGCGCGUGCGAAUAAUCGACGUCGAGAAUCCGGUACCGCGAUCACGCGGUUGCCCGUGUGAAGAAACGGCGCGCGUACCGAACCGAACCGAACACUCGUUGACGUGGUGGGGGGGGGGGGGGGGGCUGGUGAGGAGGAGGGAAAUAAAUAAACAGCGCGUACCGCCGCGCGGGGUUGGCGCGAUUCGUCGCGGAACUGCUGAACUGCGCGGCCGGUGGUUUUUGUUUGGCGACGCGAAUUAAAUGUGAUAAUACGCGCGCAACACACGAUCUCAUGUGUCGUUUAUUGUUAUACUGUUUACCAUCGAAAUAAUACAGUUUAAACGUCGGCGUUCGCAUUGCAAUCUCGUGUGUAUUUAUCGUUGAAACAGUUUGAAAAAUACAUUUGAACGACGAGCGUGAUGCGUAAGCGUAGCCCAUACGGUUGCGCGGUUUCGUUUGAAAGUUUAAACGUUUUAUUCAACAAAUAGCGCCGUAAACCGUUGGUCUCCACUCUUUGAUUGUGACUCCUCCUACUCGUACCUCCAAGUUGUUUGUCUCAGACAGAUCGCCCACCUAAAAAUAUUCCCGAUAAUUACGAAAUACGUGAUGGAUUCUACAGUAUUUCAAUGGGCCGUUAGUUUCGAGCGUGUACGUUGAAAAUUGCUCUCGUUAUAACCCAGUUCAGUAUUCAAAUCCGCAAAACUACUAGAAAUCAUAAUGUUCUGUGCGUUGCGUUAUAAGAGGCGCAAUUUUUAUCUUUAGAAACUCAAAAGCAACAGGUUAUUUAAAUAGGGUAGUAACCGUCACGUUUAAAAAACAUCAUAAUUUCUGGUAAAGUUUUACGAAUUUGAGAGCGCGUCGGCAGAUUUGCCGAACUGCGUUAUAACAGGCGACACUUUUUAACUGUGGCACUCGAAACUGACGGGUUGUCAUUUGAAUGUCAUUAUAAUAAUAACGGUUUCUACUGUAAUGAUGAUUGAAACAUCACGGGUUAAUAUGUGACGCCAAAUAAAACCACCGGUAGCGCCACAGUAGUCCAGCGAUUCAGCAAAUUAAGCAUUCUCCGUACUGCGGUGCUUUUUCAAAACAGUCGUUUACGGCGUACACGAAUAUUGCGCACUUUCGGUUAACAGCGAACAGGCCCGGACCUGUGUCGGAUACCGCCGAGGUCACUUCGAAAUGCCGUUUGUGCUGGUGCGCGGUUUACCAACGGUCAAGAUUGAUUAUUGAUUAUCCGAGAAAUCCCUCGGUCCAUUACCAGAGCAUUUUGACGUUCAACGCGAAUAAUAUCGGGCCGGGCGUCCGAAAAUAGACUUCGCGGGAAAAGGCUCCGUCGGAUACGACACUCGGUUUUGGAUUUUCGCGUUACCUGAUAAUGUGUAUUACUUUGUAUAUUUUGCCGUUUCGGUUCAUAGAAUAAUCACGUUACGCAAUCGGUUUUCUGAAAAUAGAUUUAAUUUUAGCCGUCGGGUACCUUAAUUCUCCGAAACGAUGUCCCGUCAUUAACCGCCUCGUCGGUCGACCCCGGUAUGCGGGGCCUACAGUAGGUUCACUCCGUGACAACAAAAGUUUCCGAUAGAUGGCGAUAUGAUUAUUGUUUCCGCGUUAAUUAAUUCGUAUGUUAUUUGGAUUUGGUUUGGUGUUGUCAGUUCCAAUUUUGCCGUCGUUUCAUUUCGCCGCAUAAUUCACAAAUUGUUUUUAUUUCAAAACAACGGUUGAGAAUCUGUGAUUCGUACAACCUGUAACGAUUUCACUACUAUACACUAUCUGAAGUUAUCGAUUGAUUAAAUUCCCCACAAUUAUAUAAGUAAAACGUAACGCGUACUCAUUAAACGCAACGAAUAAUAGUCAAGUCACCGGAAAAUAAACUAUUAUUUUAUACGAUAUAUAUUAUUGUUAUGCAAUUAUCUAAUACUCUAGUUGACAAUACGAUAUACAAUUUUACUGACCGAAAACUACUGUAUAUAUAUGUGUGUGUGUAAAGACCUACACAAUACAUAAAUUUAUAAGUAUAAUUAAUAAUUUGUAUGUGGCUUGUAACUUUUAAGUGAUUUAAGUGAAACAUAUGUAAGUAACCCGUUACAAUUUUACAAAGUACCACAGGCCCACAGGUACCUCCUACAAAUGCUAGGUACCCGUAGAGUAAAACAGAACGUUACUUUUUCGAUUAUCAAAUGUAUAAUCUGAUUACAUGCAUGCAAUCAGUUUCUUAUAAAUUCAAAGUCCAUUAUUAUUAUUAGCAUAUUUGAAAAAUAAAUUCAGUGCAACGCGGUACAAUUAAUUCGGCGAAAUGACACUGCUGCGAAACGGGAUACGACCGUUAAUCCGUCACGAAAGUCUAGGAAAACCAUCUGGUAGCAUUUCUGAUUUGGUAGGUGCAUCCAAGAGGUCAUUUCUUGACUUUCCUUGUAAUUUUUUUAAUAAACGGAUAGUCCGUAAUAAAACCCGAUCCGCGAGCGUGUCAAGUUCGCGGUUUCUAAAUAUAUUUAAAACAGCUAAACACCCGUAGUUAGUAAUGCAUUUUAAUUGGUUUCAAUUUUUAAUAAUCUUUCCAACUCGUUAAAAAAACUGGCAAGUAGUUGUAUAAUUUGUGUUGUUGUUUUUUCGGUUAUCUUGGCACCUAGGAAAAAUACGACUAAUAAUACUCUGCUCAGAAUCGCCGUUCUCUUAGCGACGGUUUGUCGUUAGCUUCUUGAAACAGAGCUACACCGGCAUCAGCGGCAUCAGCCUUUUUUAAAAAUAAUAUUAAUUUGUUACCGUAUGUGUAUGUUUAUUACAUGUUUUUACAAUGUUUCGAAUUGUUUGUUUCAGGUUAGUUGCAUAUGGCCUUGUCUGACAAGCUCGGCACCAGGUAAAACAUAAUAUUUUGCCAUUGUUAUUGACUCGUCGGCGGUAUCCGUUCGACCCUCGCCGUUAUUGUUGCCAUAACGGAAUUGUAAUGUCCGGGUUGCCAAUAAUCACGAACGUAUGCGCAUUUGACGCGCGAUCGAUAUAUUAACCGGUAAAAAACAAACAUUUUUUUUUUUCACGGCUCCGGGCUGCUGGCCGUUGGCAUCGGUUACUAUGAGUUCGCGUGCAAAUUAUUUAUGCGGUACGCGAGCAUUUUAUCAAAACCCGGAACGAUCAGAACCGUAAAACGGCCGUGUUGAGAACGAAUAUGGAUUGUUGGGGGCCGAGACCGUUUAACGUCAAAUUCGCACGUGUUGAGCUUUGCUGAACGCCGUCGGCUGUGUUAGCGAAUAGGUGACCACUAAUUAUCAUCGGGUAUUUUAUGGCGGAUGGACACUUCCAAAUAAUUUAUGCUGUCGACGGUUUGGACCUGGAGCUGUCUGUCGAUUGUUGUAUUCGAUUGUUUUCCGCGGCCAAAUACCGUGGUGACAAUUAUUAUUGGUUAGUUGUGUUUUGCCUAUAAAUGUUUUGUAAACAUUUAUCGAGUGUAUUUUGAUUUUUGAUCAUGCAAUGUGACGGGUUUGUUACAAUUCAAUAUCGAUUACAAUAAUUUCCAAACGGAUACACUUAAUCACAAUCAUAAAUAAAGCUCAGGACAUAUUGUGUUUAAAAUUCACCAAAAAGCUCUUAAAAACUGAAAAAAAGACUUUAAAAAAUAUAAUAAAAACAAAUGGUGGAAGGGUUUAAAUAGUCCCCUGUUUAACUUUAACUUAUUAAAUGCAAUUUUCAAACACGAUUCAAAUAGCAUUGUGUGUAUUAUAAAACAAUAACCGAGUUAAUAAUUUGUGUAGUGUUAGA